rnacentral:rRNA from 1 species
CGGCAACAGCUCAAAUUUGAAAUCUGGCCCCGUCCGGGGUCCGAGUUGUAAUUUGGAGAGGACGCUUCGGCGUCGGCCCCGGGCCAAGUUCCCUGGAACAGGACGUCGGAGAGGGUGAGAGCCCCGUACCCGUCCGGACCGCCGGCGCCGUGUGAAGCUCCUUCGA